rnacentral:rRNA from 1 species
AACGAACGCUGGCGGCAUGCCUAACACAUGCAAGUCGAACGAGACCUUCGGGUCUAGUGGCGCACGGGUGCGUAACGCGUGGGAACCUGCCCUUAGGUUCGGAAUAACUCCCCGAAAGGGGUGCUAAUACCGGAUAAUGUCUUCGGACCAAAGAUUUAUCGCCUUUGGAUGGGCCCGCGUUGGAUUAGCUAGUUGGUAGGGUAAAAGCCUACCAAGGCGACGAUCCAUAGCUGGUCUGAGAGGAUGAUCAGCCACACUGGGACUGAGACACGACCCAGACUCCUACGGGAGGCAGCAGUGGGGACUAUUGGGCAAUGAGCGAGAGGCUGAUCCAGCAAUGCCGCGUGAGUGAUGAAGGGCUUAGGGUUGUAAAGCUCUUUUACCCGGGAUGAUAAUGACAGUACCGGGAGAAUAAGCUCCGGCUAACUCCGUG